GUGGGGAAUAUUGGACAAUGGGCGCAAGCCUGAUCCAGCCAUGCCGCGUGAGUGAUGAAGGCCCUAGGGUUGUAAAGCUCUUUCGACGGGGACGAUAAUGACGGUACCCGUAGAAGAAGCCCCGGCUAACUUCGUGCCAGCAGCCGCGGUAAUACGAAGGGGGCUAGCGUUGUUCGGAAUCACUGGGCGUAAAGCGCACGUAGGCGGAUCGUUAAGUCGGGGGUGAAAUCCCAGGGCUCAACCCUGGAACUGCCUUCGAUACUGGCGAUCUUUGAGUCCGGGAGAGGUGAGUGGAACUCCGAGUGUAGAGGUGAAAUUCGUAGAUAUUCGGAAGAACACCAGUGGCGAAGGCGGCUCACUGGCCCGGUACUGACGCUGAGGUGCGAAAGCGUGGGGAGCAAACAGGAUUAGAUACCCGAGUAGUCC
rnacentral:rRNA from 1 species